ACCUCUAGCCACACGGUGGCGUAGCCCGCGGGGUCAGAGGUCAGAGCGGCGCCAUGACGGAGCUGAGCGGAGCGCCCGAAGAUCCGUUUGGGAGGACUGAUUCUUCCUUCAGCGAUAAUGGCUUUGAUUCCGGGUUCUUUGCUGACAAUACUAGAAAAGGAAGCGUAGUGUCAAGAGCAAAUAGCAUUACAUCCAACACAGGCUCCACCAGUGCCUCCUCUGUACCUAACACAGCCGAUUGCAUGACAGACAAUGAUUGUUCUCCAACUGCAGAUGAUGAAGAUAGUGAUUACAGGCAGGAACUUGCCUAUAAAGAAACUUAUAAAGACCGACGGAGACAGGCUCACACGCAGGCUGAGCAAAAGAGACGGGAUGCCAUCAAGAAAGGAUAUGAUGAAUUACAGUCAAUCGUCCCUACGUGCCAACAACAAGAUUUCUUGAUUGGAUCCCAGAAAUUGAGUAAAGCCACAGUUCUUCAGAAAACUAUUGAUUACAUCCAGUUUCUGCACAAGGAGAAGAAGAAGCAAGAGGAAGAACUCUCCACUCUGCGCAAAGAUGUCAUGGCUCUAAAGAUUAUGAAGGCGAAUUAUGAAGCAAUUGUAAAAGCCCAUCGGAAUAAUCCUCACCAAGGCAAGGAUCAGGUGACUGAUCAGGUCAAGUUCAGUAUAUUUCAGAGCAUCAUGGACUCCCUGUUUCAGACCUUCAAUGCCUGCAUCUCUGUGACCAGCUUCCAGGAGUUGUCAGCUUGCGUCUUCAGCUGGAUCGAGGAACACUGCAAACCGCAGACACUGCGGGAGAUCGUGGCUGGGGUACUACAGCAGUUAAACAGUCAGCUGCAUUGAGUUGCCAGGUGUUUAUCAUUGCUGGACUGAGAGCAGUAUUAUACUCUGAAAUUUCUAGAAAUAUGAUAUCAGCUCUGAUAACAGUGAAAAAUUAAUAUUGAAGCAAACAACUGAAACAAUUUGCACUCUUUAUUCUAACUAAAGAUGUGAAUUGACGUUGAUGAUUUGAAAAUGUUCAGAAAAACAAAUAGGUUCAUUAUAAGGCCAUGAGAGGGACUUGUGGCAUAGUUGGUAGUGCCCCUGUCUCUAGGCCAGUAGGUUCACAUUCAAGUUUUACCUGACCUGGAGGUAUGUCAUUAAAAAAGUUAAUCAAUUUCUUGUAAGAUGUUACGGCGUUGUGCCCUUGAGGGUGCUCUGCCAUUUACUAAGAUCAUGGCUGAUCUUUGGUCUCAACUCUAAUUUUCCAACGUACUCCCAUGUAUCCUGAUCUCCUUAGAAUCCAAAAAUGUAGUAAUUACAGAUUUAAAUACCUUUAACAACUGAGCAUUCCAAGCCCUGUCAGCUUGAGAAUUUCAAAGAUUUGCAAUCCUUUGAAUGAAGAUGUUUCUCAUCUCAGCCCGAAAAAGAUCUGCCCUAUCUGAAACACUUCAGCCAAAGGAAAUAGCCUCAGCACUUACCUGCUGAAAACCUGUUCUGAUCCCGAAAGAGAUAAUUAAUUUUAAGAAAAAUUAAUUCCUAUGACGCUAGUGAAAAGAAAGGACAGGAUUUCACUUUACAAAACUUUAGCAAAUCAGAUUUUGUUAGCAUAUUUCAAACAUUAAUCGAUAGGUAAAAGACAUUUCAAAUAUGAAAAGGAAAUUUAAUUUUAAAUAUUUGAUACUGCAGAAACAAGCCCACACAAGCAUGGGAUUGUGUGCAAUCUCUGUUUUUCAAACUCGACUUCCAUUUUGUAGGAUUUCUUAUUUCUCUUCCAACUAUUUUGGCUAUUCAGUUUCAUUUGCUAGCAGUCUUAUUCCAUUUGAAGCCCCGUCAUGCGCACAGUUGCCAUAGCAGAGGCCUUUGCCUGUGGUCAGUUGCUCUAGGCAAGGCAUCUUGAGGUUUGCUACCACUUCGAUGAUAUGCCUGUGACGUCCUUUGUGUGUACAACUUUGUUUUAGUUUAAAAUCAUCUUUGUUCAAUGGUCAAAUAUACAAACAGAUCAACAGUGCACCAAUAGGGUCACCCAUCUUGGGACUAAUCUCAGAAGCAGUCAUUGCAAAGACUAGAACACACUACCUUCCGUCACAUUCAGCCUAAAUUGUGGAUUCGGUAUAUAGAUGGCGUAUUUGUCAUUAUUAAAUGCAACAAAUUAGGAUGGACCCACCACCUUAUCGACAGCAAUUCACAGGAAUUAAAUUUAUAAGGAAAGAAGAACAAGAAUCAACUUAUGUUUCUGGAUGUUAAAGUAGUGAUUCAUGAAAAGGGUGUUUCAAAUCCUCAACUUCUGCAGCAGCCAGUCCAAAGUCCACAACCAAAGCUGCAUUAGGAGACUAUUGAAACAGGCAAAGACAUACUGCAACACUCCAGAACUAAGCAGGAAAGAUGAAGAACACUUAUACGAGAUCCUGACUUUAAAUAGAUAUCCAUGCAACUUCAUCCACAGAUGCCUACAAAAUAGAAAACAGAAGGACACAGUAUGACCGAACACACUGCCCUACCUCAGGAACAUAUCAGAACUGACAACAAGGUUUCUCAGACCACUCGGAACUAUGGUGGCCCACAAGCCCGCAGCCACUCUACAGCAAACACUUACAAGGAUUAAAGACCCCAUUCCCACAACAUGCAGAACAAAUUUGGUUUACAAAAUACCAUGUAACGAUUGCCACAAACAUUACAUUGGACAAACAGGAGGGAAACUAGCCAUCAGAAUACAUGAACAUCAGCUAGCAGCAAAACAUCAAGACAAAUUUUCCUUCAUAUUGGUUCAUUCAGACAAUGAAGGCCAUCAAUUUAACUAGACAAAUGUCACCAUACUAGCCCAAGGCAAACAGGCAUGCAUAGGAAUUCCUAGAAGCAUGGUUUGACACACAUACUUCCAUCAACAAACAUAGAAUUGGAUCCCAUAUACAAACCCAAACAGAUCAAAACCAGAAAUAACAAGACUCACCAUAAUGGACGGGACAGUAUAAAUACCAAGCGGAGUAGAAUAACAUCGCCUCAUUGGAGGCUCCAUUGAUGAUGUCACCUAGCAGGGUGAUGAAAUGUCUGAACAAAAACAAGCCAGCUCGGCGAGCAAGUCAACAACCUCAAACAGUAAACUGUCAGAAACAUUUAAUAUUAUUUAGGAACUUGGUUCUAAAGUUAAAGUAAAAUUAAAAUUAUUUUUAUUUUGGUGAUGGUAUGACCUGUUUAAGAAAGAGGCAAAAGUCAGUUGGAAUAAUGAGUCGAGGAAGGCUUUGCCAAUAAAUCAUGUGACUUUAAAUGACAAAUUAAGUUACUGGGUUAAAUCAUAGCUAGGUGUUUACUAUAGUGAAAUGUCUGUGAUUUAUAGUGGCAGGUUGCCAGAAGCCAGAAGUAGAUUGAGUUUAGAAGAACAGAUUGGAUUGUGGAAGUCUUAAAAUGUAACAGUCUCAAAGUAGGCAAAGUCAAGAGAAAAGUCAGUUCACUUGCCUUUCUCUGUCUUGUGGAAGACAAAACAGAAUUAAUCCUAGUGAAUAUACAGAAAAUCACUGAAAGGAAACCUUUCAGAGAUCUUGCCAUUUCAUUUAAGAAAUUCUGAAGUGAAGGUCAGAGUGAUUCUUAACAGGAGUUGAGUGAGUUAAAAAACAUUGCUUGGAAAAAGAGUUGAAUCCUUUUUGCUGUUUAUGACAUCUUUCAAAAUUUCUUUUUGUGUAAUAAAUGUAUGUUCUUUUAUUUAAAGUACAUUGACAGCCUUGUGUAAAUAUAAUCAUUGACUUACCACUAUGGCAAUCAAAUUGCAAAACUAACAUUUGCAGUCUCUUAAGCCAGGUCUAACUCUGGAGUCAGCUUUAUCUGGUAUAACCAUCAGUUAGGAUCAUAAGUUACAUUCAGAUAGAAGCUUACAUGGUUCUUCUCACUAGAUUUAUCUGCUUUUCCUGUUUGGCAGCUUAGGACACUCUGUCUGAAACCUGAUCAGUUUAUCCCUAUGGCAGUUCCUGGUCACAUUAGAACACAGAACCAUACAGCACAGGAACGGGCCCUUCGGCCCACCAUUUUGUGAUAUGAUGCCAGACUAAACUAAUCCCUUAUGCCUGCCCUUGGUCCAUAUCCCUUCAUUCCUUGCAUAUUCAUGUGCUUAUCAAAGUGUCUCUUAAAUGCCUCCAUCGUUUGAUGGCUGAUUUCCUUAAUAUAUAAUUACAAGAAACAAUCAGCCCUGAUCAGAAUAUAAAAAGACAUACGUUUCCCAGCAUAUAUUGCUGUGUUUCAUAAUGCUAAUUUGAUUGUAGCUGUGCUUCCCAGAAAUCAGUUGAAUGAAUCCGAGGAAGGGUCACUGGACCUGAAACGUUAACUGUUGUUUCCUUCACAGAUGCUGCUAGACCUGCUGAGUUUUUCCUCCAGUCUUUGUUUUUCUUCCAGUCUUUGUUGCAUGCACUUUUAAUGGGCUCAAAUGAUGUCUCGUUCUGGACACACAACCAGGGAAAACAACCUUUCUGCAUCUAUCCUCUCAAGCCCUUUCAGAAUUUUAUAAGUUUCAGUAAGAUCAUCUCUUAUUCUUCCAAACACCAAUGGCUACAGGCCUAACCUAUCGAACAUUUCCUAAUAAACUAGCCUGAACUAGCUCUAUCGCUUCAUAGUACUCUAAUGCAGCCUCACUGGCACUUUGUACAUCUAAAGUAAAAUGUUCACACUUUUAUAAAAGCAGCAUAGCGUGAAUGAUUGAAAUCUGAAACAAAUAUAGAGAAUGCUGGUGAAGCUCAACUGGCCAGGCAGCAUCUGUGGAGGAGAAAACAGAGCUAACAUUUUGGGUCCGCUGACCUUUCCUCACAACUUAUACUUCUUCUGAACUCAUAGUUGAGUUCAGUUUGACUCUUAUGCAAAACUGAAAGAAUGUUCUGAAUUUUACAAAUUUUUUCUAAUUUGAUUUUUUCAUUUGAUUUAUUGUAGUCAUUUAUACCAGGUACAGUGAGAAGCUUUUGUUUUGCAAGCGGUACAGGCAGAUCGUAGCAAGCAAGGAUAUACAGAUCAUAGGGCACUCAGAGUGAGAACACAAGGUUAUGGUGGCACAGGAGAUGUGCAACAAGAUCACCAUUAGUGAGAUCAACAUUGUUUGAAGUUAGAGAGGUCUAUUUAGCAGUCUAAUAACAGCAGGGAAGUUGUUCUUGAACCUGUUAGUGUGUGUGUUCAAGCUUUUGUAUCUUCUGGCUGACAGAGGAGGUUGGAAGAGAGCAUUACCGGGGUGAGAGGGGUCUUUGAUGAUGGAAGCCUUUCUGCAACAAUGAGAAAUGCGAAUUAAGUUUGUAGAUGGGGACUUGGCUUCCCUGAUGGUCUGGGCUGUGCACACAACUUCCUGUGGUUUUUUGCCAUCCUGGGCAGAGCAGUUGUCGUACCAGGUCAUUAUGCAACCAGAUUAGGAUGCUUUCAGUGGUGCAUCUGUAAAAUUUGUUGAGGGACUUAUGGACAUGCUGAAUUUUCUAAGCCAUCUCAGAAGAGAUUGUUGGUGUGCCUUCUUGACAGUCGCAUCUACAUGGGAGGUCCAGGACAGAUCGUAAGUUAUCAUCAUUCCUAGGAACUUGACCCUGUCCACGUCAGCUCCGUCAAUGUAGGUAGGGGUGUGACCGCCUCCUUUCAUCUUGAAGUAAAUGAUCAGUAGUUUUGCUGACACAGGUUGCUUUAAUUGCACCACAACACCAAGCCCUCUGUCUCCUUCCUGUAUUCUGACUCAUCGUUGUUUGAUAUAUCCUACCACUGGUGUCAUCAGCAAACUUUCAGAUGGUGUUCAUUCGGAAUUUGGCCACACAGUUGCCUGUCCAGGGAAUACAGAAGGGGGCCAAGAAUGAAUCAUUGUGGGGUGCCAGUGUUGAGGAUUAUUGUGGAGGAGGUGCUGUUGUCUAUCUUCACUGAUUGCAGUCUGUGGGUCAGAAAUCUGAGGAUCCAGUUGCAAAGGGUGGAGAGCCAAGGCCUAUGUCUCAAAGUUUUGAGGUUAGUCUGGAAGGGAUUAUGAUGCUGAAGGUGGAGCUGUAGUCAGUGAGUAGGAGUCACAUGCAUGCCUUUCUUAUCCAGAUGUAUCAGGGAUGAGUGUAGGGCUGGGGAAUGGUAUCUGCUGUGGAUUUGUUUUGCCGGUAGGGGUCAAGGUAGGCUGCAAAAUGAGUUGAUAUGGGCAUUUACAAGCCUCUCAAAGCAUUUCAUGAUUAUGGAGGUCAGAGCCACUGGGGGUAGUCAUUUAGGUACGUUGCAUGUGUUUUCGUAGGUCUUGGGAUGAUGGUCUUCUUGAAGCUGUAGAGGACUUUGGCUUGUAACAAGGAGAAGUUGAAGAUGUCAGCUAAUACCUCUGCUAGCUGGUCAGCACAGGAUCUAAGUGCAUGGCUGGGGAUUCUGUCCGGGCUCAUCGCUUUCCUUGGGUUGACUCUCAGGAAGACCGAUCUGAUGUCUGCAGCGGUGAUGGAGGGAACAGGCUCAUCCAGGCUGUCAAGGCAGAAGACCAAAUCCUAAUUGUCCAGAGGGCAGUUAAGAGUCAACUACAUUGUUGUGGGUCUGGAGUCACAUGUAGACCAGACCAGGUAAGGAUGACAGUUUGUCUCUAAAGGACGUUAGAAAGUAUUAGGUUAAGCAAUGUCUAAUAUUAAAAUUCCACUUAGAACAUUGAGGAGUACAGCACAGGAACAGGGCCUUUGGCCCAGUUAAUCUGUUCUGCCUACUCUUGAUCCAGAUUCCGCCAUUCCUUGCUUGUUUGUGUGCUUACUUAAAAGGCCCUAUUCUUUCUGCCUCCACUACUACCCCUGGCAGCAUGUUCCAGACACUUACCACACUGUGUGUACAAUACCAGCUCCUCACAUCUCCUUUGAGCUUUCCUCCUCUCAUCUUAAAUGCGUGCCCUCUAGAAUUAGACAGUUCAACUCUGGAAAAAAGAUUGUUAACGCUAUCAAUGCCUCUCAUAAUCUUCAAAACUUCUAUCAAGUCUCCACACAGCCUGUGGCACUCCAGAGAAAAUAACCCUAGUGUGUCCAGCUUCUCCUUAUUGCUCAUACUCUAUUACAGACAAUAUCCUGGUAAAUGUCUUCUGUAGCCUGUCCAAAGCCUCCACAUGCUUCCUGUAGUGUAGCGAACAGACUGAAUGCAACACUGUUAAGUGUGGUGUAACCAAAGUUUUACAAAACUCCAACAUCACUUCCUCACUCUUGUACUCAAUGCCCCAGACAAUAAAGUCAAGCAUGUUAUAUAUACCUUCUUUAACACCCAGUCUACCUACGUGGCCACUUGUAGGGUGCUAUGGACGAGACUGCAAGAUCCCUCUGUACAUCAAUGCUGUUAAUUGUCCUAGAUUUUUUCAUAACAUUUGAUCUCCCAAAGUGCAACACAUCACACUUGCCCAGAUUAAACUCCACCUGCCAUGUCUCCGCCCAUAUCUAUUGCUGAUCUAUAUCCUGCUGCAUCCUUUGACAACCUUCUACACUAUACAUGGCUGUUCGGAUCUUUGUCAUCUGCAAACUUCCUAACCCAUCCAUCUACGUUUUCAUACAAGUCAUUUAUAUACAUCACUAACAACAGAGGUCCCAGUACGGAUCCCUGCAGAACACCACUAAUCACAGGCCACUAGCCAGAAAAUUGCCAUUGCACCACAACCCUCUAUUUUCUAUGGGCACACUAAUUCUAAAUCCAAAUGGCCACAUCACUCCGGAUCCUGUGCAUCUUAUUCUUCUCAAUAAGCCUACCAUGAGGGACCUUGUUGAAAGCCUUACUAAAAUUUAUGUAAACAAUGUCCAAUACUGUACCCUCAUCACUUCUUCAAAAGGAAAUCCAUCAACUUACUAAGAUAUGACCUGUACUGCACCAAGCCAUGCUGAUUGUCCUUAAUUUGGCCAUGCUUUUUCCAAAUGCGUGUAAAUCCUAUUCCUAUUUUCAAAUCUCUCCAAAGCUCAAACCUCCUUUUCUGUCCUUCAGCCUGGUAAGAUCUUCUACUAGGACCUCAGGGUUUCCCUUACAAAAUAAAAAACUUGUAAUUUUGGAAACGUCAAGGUGUUUCAGUUAACUUCAGUGAAUAUCCAUACUGACAGAACUAAAACGCAAAUUUUACGAUAUUUUAUUCUGAAAAAAAAACUAACGUGUUAAUAAUGCAACACAGAAAUCUGGAUCAGCUACAUGACAAAAUCUUUUCAAUAAGCAGAAAACCUAACAGUAAAAGUCUAUGAAAAGAUAAUGUAGACACAGAGUAGACCAGUGUUUUUAUUACCUGCCACCAGUCAUCUGCUUUGAGUCAAAUGAUUAGCCAGACUAUAUUUUUGAAGACUAAUGAGCCAAGCUCUGGUUCAAUAUCCAAGCAAGCAAAUUGCUCAUUUCAGAUUCAGAGCAAUUCUUUUGGCAUGCUAUAAAUAUGAAUUUCAGACAGUAGUGGAUCUAAUGCAUGGCAAAGUUCUACAAGCCAGAUGUCAUUCAUGUAGCAGGGCCAUGCUGACUUGACCAAAAUAAAAAUGAACUGCACUCCAUAAAGGAACUCUCCAAUCAGCUGCAAACAAAUGAAAUUCUGAGUGUGGGUGAGCAAGAUCUAGGUAUCUUCCAGUUGAAAUAAAAAAUAUUGCAAUAUCAUCUCAAAGUGACUGGAUGGAGCAACACUCGAAAAAGAACAGAUUUCACAGUAGAUUCUACAUUUAGUAGCCAAACAGAAGACUCAUGAAUUCCUUGUUGGAACAAAUUGGGCAGAAAGCAUCCUACAGUAGCUUUUGUAUUUACAUUAAACUUUGGUUGUAGUGCCAUUUUUUGUAAACUUUAUUCUUCAUAAGUCUGGCACAGUGACCAUGUGAUCUUCAUCUGUUUCUAUUCCAAUUUCUUC